GGUGGUGUGGUCUAGUGGUAUGACGUCGCGUUGUGGCCGCGCCAGCCCGUGUUCGAUUCACGGCACCGCCA